AGUGAACGCUGGCGGUAGGCCUAACACAUGCAAGUCGAACGGCAGCACAGGAGAGCUUGCUCUCUGGGUGGCGAGUGGCGGACGGGUGAGGAAUACAUCGGAAUCUACUUUUUCGUGGGGGAUAACGUAGGGAAGCUUACGCUAAUACCGCAUACGACCUACGGGUGAAAGCAGGGGAUCUUCGGACCUUGCGCGAUUGAAUGAGCCGAUGUCGGAUUAGCUAGUUGGCGGGGUAAAGGCCCACCAAGGCGACGAUCCGUAGCUGGUCUGAGAGGAGGAUCAGCCACACUGGAACUGAGACACGGUCCAGACUCCUACGGGAGGCAGCAGUGGGGAAUAUUGGACAAUGGGCGCAAGCCUGAUCCAGCCAUUCCGCGUGGGUGAAGAAGGCCUUCGGGUUGUAAAGCCCUUUUGUUGGGAAAGAAAUCCAGCUGGUUAAUACCCGGUUGGGAUGACGGUACCCAAAGAAUAAGCACCGGCUAACUUCGUGCCAGCCGCCGCCGUAA
rnacentral:rRNA from 1 species